GAAUGACCCAGGUCAAUUCAAUUAGUCUGCAGCCCUGACAAUGGAUUCAUCCUGCAGUAACUGUAAAACUGGCAGAAAGGCAAACGUAUCACCAUAAAUAAGAAAUUAUAUCCCAGAGAAAAAAUAGCAAGAAAAAGAAGGAAGCAGUUCUCAUAAGCCUUAAGAAGACCCAUGCUUGAUCGGAGCAAAAGCCUGUGUAUUCAGGGACUUUUUAAAAUAUGUAUGGAAAGCUCACAAGCAGCAGAUGAGUACAAGUUCCUCAUCUUGUUCAGGACUUCCUGGGAGGAAAUGGUGGACUGAAGACAGCUCUGUGAAAAGCGAAGCCAAAAAUUAUAUCUACGAACAAAGAAUCAACAAGAAGAUACGUUCCUUUGAUCUUCUCUGGAGAAUCAGUAGAUGUGAGAUUGCCAAUGGUGCACUCCACACAGUUGUUCCUCAUGAGGAGACUGCAGGAUUGUAGUGUCUGGAGAUGCAGGAGAUGAUGUUAUUUGACAUUUUUGCUCCAGUUGCAGUCUUCAACUUCCUUUGCUAACCUGGUAAUUGCCUAUUAACUACUUUAAAGAAGAUAGAUAUCUUAAAAUUGCUAGCUGAAAAUAACUUGAGACUCUUCAAUACUUAAUAAAAGAAAAGGAAACUGGAUAUAUAUAAGUUUUGAGAAUUCAAAAUAAAUGGUAAAAAGGAAGAAAAAAAUGAGCUAUAUAAAGUUUUACAUACACUAAGGCAGGAUAUAAAACUGGUGGCCGCGAGCAGGAUGCAUUACAAGCAGGCCACUCCCACCUGACUCUACUAAGGCAAAAAAAAUCCUUGUAGGUUGCAAUAUGACAAGUGACGCAAUUGAGUUUGACACUUAGUCCUUUGUACUAAGGACUCAGAAAAUAUUGGAAUAUUUGAUUUUAAAUAUUAAGACUUUGAAAUGAAUUUUAAAGAAUAAAUUCAUUUUCAUGGGAACUAAAAAUUAUUUUCAAUAUUGGAAACACAACAAGAUAAGAAACUUAUAAUGAUAUUCAGAGCUAUUGUUGAGGAAUGGCAAUGAGACUUUGAAUUGAUUAUGCCACCUAUGUUGUGUGUUUUUAUGAACACAAGUAGCUGUUACAUCAGAAAAUGCUAUUACAGAAAAAGAUUUAGAAAAAAAUAUUUGACAUGAUUAUGGAGAACAAUAUGAACAAGAUUUAUCACUGAAUAUACAAAAAAUUUUUUAAAAAAAUCUCUAAAAAUUAAGAAGGAAAUGAAAAUGCCAGUUCAAGUGAGUAAUUGUAUUAUUAUUUUUUUGCUAGUCUUACAAAACAGGUUUGUUAAAGUUUUGAAAAAUAUCUUAAUAAGGGAUAAAGAUAAUUUGAUUGGAUUAAAAACAAGAUUGCUUUAUAUAAAAAGAUGUAUAAAGUUGGCUUACUUAAUCAGGGUUAAAAUGGGAUGUGUUGUUACUUGAAUUGGGGUUUCUUUCUGGACUUGCUGAUAUCUGUACUGGAAAAACAUUGUGUACGGAACUUGCCUGCAACUUAACAGUUGAGUUAUCAGAUGGAGAUAUCUGUUUACUACGAGAAGGUGAAAAAAUACUGAAACUGUUUAUAUUUAUUGUGAUAAGGGUGGGAAAUUUCUUUCUUAGGUUUUUUUUCUUUUUCUCUUUACAGUUUUACUUUCUUUUUAGAUUUCUCACAUCUUUUUUCUGUCUUGCUGUUUUUCUUUUUAAUUUAUAUUAUCUUUUAAUAUACUUAAUUUUUUUUAAUAAAAAUAUAUUUUUAAAAACCAUUUCUAUUUUUAUUUGGCCUUCUGUGAGAGAAGGGUAUAUAUUCCAUUAGUGGUUGUGAAAAGUUUUCUAAUUUUUGAGCUGGAUAUAAACACAAUCAGAAUAAUCAAAGCUUACACCAGGGGUGUCAAACUGGCAGCCUGUGGGCCAGAUGUGUCACGUGCAGGCCAUGUCCACUCCAGCUCAGCAAAGUUAAAAAUAUCACGAUAUGUCACAAAGUGGCAACAUGACGCUGCAAGUUUGACCCCUGUGGAUUACAUAACUGAAAUACUGAGGAUCAGAUGAUUCCAAUCUAGAAAACUAGAGUAAUUUAUGCUUGGUCUUCUAUAUCUUUGAAACAGUUUGGAGAAUAAAUGAAGUAAUAAACAACUGGAGGAGACCAAAGAUUUUCAAUAUCUUUGAAAAUCUCGGGAAGUGUGAUGCUGGAAUCUGAUCUCAACACCUAGGAAGGUUCUAUGACAGUUCGUAAAGCAAUUAAUUUUAAGCAUUUGAAAAAAUGCAGUGAUUACCAGAGAUUAGCAUGGAUUUGUCAUAUUAAUUCUAUUUCAUUUUUUGAUUGUAUAACUUCCUUAACAGAUUAUGGAAAAGCUGUGAUAUAAUAUACUUUGACUUCAUUAAAGCAUUUGAUAAGUACCCAUUGUUGUGCAACUGAAUCCUUUUAGCCAAGUAAAGUAUACUAACAGGAAUAAAGAGAAAUCGUAUUUUUUUUUAUUUAACUUCUUAAUAUUAGUCUUUGGAUCACUGUUGGAGGACCAGAUGCCCACAUUUUCAGAAGCAGACUUUAAUUAACAUUUAUAUAUUCAUAAAGCAAGUAAACAUACUGACUGGCUGAUGUAUUCACAUUACAGUACAUGAAAUGCAGGCAUAUAUAAAAAAAACUACAAAUGAAAAUUUAUCAACACACUUGUUUACUUGCAGACACAGUGUUUUUCUUUGUCUCUCCUUGGUUCUUUGUUUCCAUUUUCUGGUCCUUCUUUGUCUACAUGCUGGUUUAGUUAACUGUAAGGAUGCUAUUCUAUAACAAAAUCAGACAAGGAAACUAAUUAACUAUAGACAAGCUAGAUUGCUAGAUUUCAACUAAAUUGAAAAUUGUACUCAGAGGGUAUCAAUAGUUCUUCAAUUGACUAGGGUCAGAUUUAAGUGGGAUCAUUCAUGGCUCCUAUGAUUUUAAUAUUUUCAUCAAUGAUAAUGAUGUUGAAUAGUUGAAUGAUUUAAACGAGAUCUACUUUUGCAGAAUUAUAAGAUAUCUUGAAUCUAUAAGGUAGAUAACGCAUACAUUUUCAUAAAUCAAUUAAUUUAUUUGGUAGUUUCCUCAAAUUUAUCAUGACUGCCUACCCAGGACUGUGGCAUUCAUUUUUAUAGUUCA